rnacentral:misc_RNA from 1 species
UCGUAACAAGGUUUCCGUAGGUGAACCUGCGGAAGGAUCAUUACUGAUUUGCUUAAUUGCACCACAUGUGUUUUUCUUUGAAACAAACUUGCUUUGGCGGUGGGCCCAGCCUGCCGCCAGAGGUCUAAACUUACAACCAAUUUUUUAUCAACUUGUCACACCAGAUUAUUACUAAUAGUCAAAACUUUCAACAACGGAUCUCUUGGUUCUCGCAUCGAUGAAGAACGCAGCGAAAUGCGAUACGUAAUAUGAAUUGCAGAUAUUCGUGAAUCAUCGAAUCUUUGAACGCACAUUGCGCCCUCUGGUAUUCCGGAGGGCAUGCCUGUUUGAGCGUCGUUUCUCCCUCAAACCGCUGGGUUUGGUGUUGAGCAAUACGACUUGGGUUUGCUUGAAAGACGGUAGUGGUAAGGCGGGAUCGCUUUGACAAUGGCUUAGGUCUAACCAAAAACAUUGUUUGCGGCGGUAACGUCCACCACGUAUAUCUUCAAACUUUGACCUCAAAUCAGGUAGGACUACCCGCUGAACUUAAGCAUAUCAAUAA